GCCGCUGACCCGCCGCCUCCGUCUGCCUCCUCCCGGGCUCUGGGCCCAGCGCGCCCAGAUGCCGGGCAGGACCCCUCCGCCCGCUGCUGGAACACCAAUAGCAGCGUUGGAGCCUCUGGGCCGGAGGAACUGGGGCCUCCACCGACACCUGCUUCUUCCCUCACCUCGCAGCCUUCCACACCUGUUGAUCUGACCUCUGCCCCGCUGCCGCCCAGGAGUAACCUAAGGCUUUUGGCCUGAUUCGAGCUCACUCCGUCUAAACCUCUAAAUGCGGUGCGAAAAAAUCCUGGGGAAUGUGCCAUGCAAAGCCUGGGCAUUUCAAGUGCUUUUCUGGAUUCGCAUCAACUCCUCUUUACAGGCAUCUUUAUCCGGAAUUCAGCUCGUCCCAAACCCCACGUGGUGUAGCUCUGCUUGUGUUUUUGAAUCCCGGGGCCUCUUUGAAUCAGAAGCCCUUUGUAUAGAGAUAAGUAUCCUUUAGGCCAGAAUCAGCCUCCAUUUUUUUCGCAGUCCCAUUUCCUACCCGUAAUACUUUCUUCUGAUUUUAAAGCCAUUUGAUAGAGAAGGGACAGGGAACAGAACCUUCGCCCCCCGCCUGAGCAGCUGGUAGACUAGAUAUCUUCCAAACAUUAUCUCAUUUACUUCCCUGGAGUUACAAAUAGGUAGAUUUCAUGUCCGUUGAGGGGUGAGAAAGCUGAAACUUUGAGACUUAAGAAUCCUGGCCGAGGUCAGCCUCCUCCGAAGCUUCAUCUCUUGCCACCACUUUCUGGUGCACACCUAGGACAGAUUUCAAUCCCUGAGAUCCCAGGAUGAAACCUAUGUUUGCCAAAUACCAGCUACUGUGCCAGAAGAGAUCAUGGAACCAGGUGUGGAAAGCUGCUUGAGAAGAGGAGCCAAAACAUCAUAGUUGAACCGUCCUGGAAUAGAAACUCGCCCUGAAUUCUUUCUUGUGUGAAAUCCAAGAGCCCUCUCUUGGGGUUGGAUCGGGACCCUGUUCCUGUAACAAGUCCACAAUGCCAGAGAAUUAAAGAGAACCACAAAGUUCCUGUUAUCGUGCUUUGAGGUGCACUGAACUGCAGCAAACCCAGGGGAUCCAAGGCUACGUUGAAAAGCCUUUGACCACAGUGCAGGGAGCAGAAGACAUUAAUGACGUGAUGUCGACACAGCCCGCACUCAGGAUCCUCCAGGAAAAGAACACAGAGAUAACCCCGGAUCGAUGGUACUUUUUGAAAAUGCUUUAUUGCAAAAGAGUGGCUAGGGUUUUACAAGGGCUAUGAAGAAACAUAUUAAGGUUAAUAAAGCUUUUUAUUGAGUGUUUACUGAGUGUUACUAUGUGCUUUACAUCUAUUAACUCAUUUCAUCUUCAAAACAACCCUAUAAAGAUGUUACAACUAUAAUCCUAACCUUACAAAUGAAACAACUGAGGCACAGUGAAGUGCAGUGGCCUGCCCAGGUAAAAAGCAAGACAGAAUUUGAACCCAGGCAGCCUGACCCCAGGGUCCAGGUAUUAAACCAUUCUGCUAUAGUGCCUCUAAGAUAACAGAGAAACUUGAUGAAUUACUGGGUUACUGAAUUUUAGUUUACAUAGGUUGUUUUUUUCCCCUUAAGAGUAGAACAAAACAUACCUGAAGUAUGGAAAAUAACAUUUAUUUUAUUUUAUUUAUU
ensembl:lncRNA CNN3-DT CNN3 divergent transcript